rnacentral:rRNA from 1 species
AUGUCCUUGUCAACUAGGUUCUCGCGGGGGCCUCGACUUUGGACCGUCUUGGACAACUUCCAUGACUUGCCCUACGACGACGAUGACGACAUCACUGCCAGCGGCCUCGAAGGUCGUGCCUACGAGGUGACCAUCCACUUCAUGCGCUACGAUUUAGUUUUGUGUGGGAAGUCAACCCGGCAAUCCGACCCAUGGGUGGUCGCGCCCAUGGGCACUCAACCUGAAUGGAUAGGGUAUGGGUUGUCAUCUUCACUCUUGGUACUGGCCAUGGGAAGCCCGGCCCGGCCGGCCCGGCCCGACGCUGCCCCCGGGCCGGGCUCGGGCCUAGUUUUUGAGCCCGAAGGCCGGGCCGGGCCGGGCCCGGGCCCAUCAUUUUUGCCAUUUUCUGAAGGUCAGGCCGGGCCGGCCCGAAGCCCGGCGGGCUUUUACGUGCUCGGGCCCAGAAACACAGGCCCGAUGGCUUUUUUUGUGUCGGGCUUGGCUAGGCCCAUCCCGAAGCCCGGCCCGGCCCGAGGUUUGGCCAGGUGUACUCACAUCCACACAUGCAUUUUAUUUAUCUCUAGGCCUAUGGUUCUUUCACAUUUGAAGAAUGAAGGCCCAACAAUGUUCGGCCCAUACAACACAUACAUCGUUGGUUCAGGCACCUGCCGCCGCCUCCUCGCGCACUCCCGCACGCGCGCCGCGCCCUCACCUCUCUCUCCCCCUCCAAACCCUACUCCGUGUCCGCCUCCCUGCCCCGCCGCGGGCCGCCGCCGCCGCCGCCACCGCUGCUCGCCCGGGCACCCAUCCUCGGCCUCACGCUGCCCAUCUAGAGAGAUAGGGGCCGCGGGUGAUGAGGCCGACGUGCCGUCGUCCCGUCUUCUGCGAGGUCGAGGAGAGCCAAUCCCACCUUGUCGCCAUCUCCUUCAUCCAGCCGGCUGCCGCCUUGGCCGACUCCUCCUCCCCUUCCGUCCUCCUCCUGUCGCGUCUCCACCCCGUUGUCAGACCACAUGCUGCUCCACCCUUCCUCCUCCCCUCCCAUCGUUCCCUCUAAUUCUAGGAGUGGGUGAGGAGGCUGAGCCACUGCCCGCCGCCGGCCCGCAACACCUCCUGAUCGACCACGCCGAGGAAGCACUGGACCUUCAUCCUUGCGUCUGUGCACCUCUGGAAAGGAGACGACCCGAGGAUUUUGCUAUUCCUGUAGUUGUUUGUCUGGACUCUGGAGAGGCAUGUACAUAUGCAGAUUGCCUGGGAAUAAGGAUAACCGACAUUGACAGAACAUUCUGUGUAUAUCUGGAAACGCAGGUCAGCAGUGACUUGGAAUACCUGGUUCUCGCUACAGAUGGUCUUUGGGAUGUCGUGCAAAAUGAGAUUUGGGGGGCCUUGAGGCAUUCAAAUGGAGCACAUGUGUUCAUCUUAGAUUUGGAGUACGUGCAUUCAGGCUUAAAUGUGCAAAUGCACACUGCUGGAGCGCCCUUCAGCAACGAGGAGGCCCAUCGCGACACAGCCGCCGCCUGCGUCGGUUCUCCCCAGCGCGACAUGGACGCCGCCGGCGUCGGUUCUCCCCAGCACAGCCACUCUGAAGACGGAAAGGUCCACUGUAGCUGUUGUUUGUUCCGUUUGUUGAGGCUUGGUCGGCCUGCUGCUACCGUUUCAGGAGGUUGCAAGCUUAUACUAGAUGAUAUGAAGGUGCUAUUUUGUUUGUCAGUGAUAGGCCUCGUGGAGUUGCAGUUGUUGACAAAUAAGAUGCCACCGUUGAUGCUCUCCAGCAGUAGCUAUGCAGCUUUCUCCUGGGACCAUCGUCAUAAACCAAUCAACUCUUUGAGAAUGGAUGUCGUGCUCACUCGCUGGCUUCUAAUUGCUAAUGCCUUGCUGCUAUCAGGAGAAGACAACAUCAAGAAGGCCAUGGCUGAGGCAAAACUGUGA